UUUCAGGGAUGGUCAUAAUUCAUAUUGUCCUAGUUAGGACAACUGAGACCAGUUCAUCACUGGAUGGGUGUAACCCAAAACUGUAUAUUCUAUAGCCUUCUAUGCCAUUUCCCAGAAACUGUUAUCAAUGAACCAUUUACACUAUCUGCACAUAGAGCCUGACUGCUCAGGCUAUAAACUAGGUGCUAAGAGGCCUGCGAGAUAGGAGUUGCUCUUGUCCUCACACCCAUUAAGGAACUCCCUGCCCUGAGGGAGGUA